rnacentral:rRNA from 1 species
UACAGAGGUGGCGAGCGUUGUUCGGAUUUACUGGGCGUAAAGGGUGCGUAGGCGGUUCCGCGUGUCGAAUGUGAAAUCUCACUGCUUAACGGUGAAAUGGCAUUCGAAACUGCGGGACUAGAGUGCAGAAGAGGAGAGCGGAAUUCUUGGUGUAGCGGUGGAAUGCGUUGAUAUCAAGAAGAACACCGGUGGCGUAGGCGGCUCUCUGGAAUGCAACUGACGCUGAGGCACGAAAGCGUGGGUAGCAAACAGG